UUCCGGCUGCACCGCGGCAUGAAUGUGCCCUUCAAGCGCCUGUCUGUGGUCUUUGGAGAACACACACUGCUGGUGACGGUGUCAGGACAGAGGGUGUUUGUGGUGAAGAGGCAGAACCGAGGUCGGGAGCCCAUUGAUGUCUGAGCCUGCCGGAGGGCGAGGGUCGGAGAAGCGGAUUGGGUCUUGGGCCUCUGUGAUGAGGCAGGCACACCCGUCGGUCUUGGCUUGCUGCUAGAACUAGGGCCUUCUGCUCGCCCACCUCCCACCCCUACCUGGACGGGCCGAGGCUUGGGGACUCUGAGCUGUGUUAAGGAGAACAAGGGCAAGGAGACCUCCCUUUGUGCUCCCUCCCUCCCUAAUAAACAUGAGUCUGAUGUUCUCCAGCCCAGGGACAUGUGUGUUUAGUGUCGGAAUGGUUACACCCCAUGUCUGUCUUCCACCUUCUGGGGAGAAAGUCAUGCACCUUAGCCCAAGUUGGGUGCGGCAGGGCCACCUCUGUGUGCUAUAAAACUGGGAAGCAGAAAAAGCUGGAGGGGAAGGGAGUCACCCUGAGCCCUGGCGACCUCUGCUCUUCCCAUCAGUACACAAACUAGUCAUCCUUCUCCCUCCUGAACAGGCAUUUAAUAGUCUUAUUUUNNNNNNNNNNACAGGCAUUUAAUAGUCUUAUUUCAGUUGGAAGCAAUAGUUGGAAAAUAAGUUACAGGAACAGACCAAAAAAAAAAACAAAAUUAAAGUGCUUCAGGCUGCAAAGGUAAACAUAAGGGGCAGGAGGCUACCUGGCCCUGUCCCCAACCCCUGAGACAGGAAGGUCACUGUCAGGGGCUCUUAGCCAUCACCACCCUCUAAUCUCAGCCCUGCGGGAGGGAGGGAGGGAAUGUCAGAGGUGGGAAAGAACUCAACGGGAAUGAGGAAGAGACUUUGUAAACUCAGAACCAGGGUAAAGGGCCGGGGACAAGGGAGCUCUGGGAACCCUUACCCUAGGGGUGGGGCCAGCCCCCGCCACAGGAACUUGGGGAAUACUGGUGGCUUAGUCCCAGCCAUGCCCGCCCACUUCACAGCUUCUUCCCCCAUCCCUCAUCAGCAGACACAGACAGGCAGCUCUGCCAGGCCUCUUCACCCCCGUCUGGGAGGCAUCCCAGGGGAGGCACAGCCUGGGAGCAGGGAUCCCCUCUGGGGGCGUUGGGUCUCUGGAGUGUAAGAGGGAACAGAGCUGGCACGGUGCUACUUGACGGGUUCCACCACCAGGACCUUGCACUCGCGCUUGGCAAUCUUGUCCAGAGACAACACAGCCUUGUCCGGGGGCAGGUAGAGGGGGCGGCCAACAGGAGAGGCCACAGGGGGCGUGAUGGCUCUGCGCUCCAUCACACUGCCCGACCUGGGGGAAGGCAGAGGCUGUGGGCGCUGGUCAGACCUGGCACCCUCGCUGCUCCCAUCCUCUACCCGGUCCCAUGCCACGCCCCCUGGUUCUGUACCUCAUGAGGUGGCUUCGGGAAGGCUGCUGGUGGGAGAAGGACUGGGAGCGGCCCAGGCUAGCCUGAUGCCUCUCCACCAAGUCCCGGACAGCAGGGCUGCUGGGGCUGCUCUUGCGGGAGAGGGGCCGGGCCUCGGGUGGAGGGUGGGACACGCUGGCGGUGAACUGCAGCUUCAGUUUCAUGUGCUGGCUUAGCUGGGGGGAGACACAGUCAGCAUGCCAGCUCAGCUUCCAGGGCCCAGGCCUCCUUCCAAAUGGUCUUCCCCACGUGACAGACUGAUGUCAAAUCUAAAUCCCACCUUCCCUCUGCCCAGCUUUUUAUUUCAUCCCCAAAAUCUAAGGGUCCUGCCUCCGUCCACCCCAGCAUUCUGCAUCACUCAGCACUCAGCCCAGACCCUCCCCAGCCCACCUCGAAGAGCCCCGUCCUCAGAGCCUGGAAGGCCACACUGAAGGUGAGCGCGCUGCCCUUCCGGGAAAAGCCAAGGUUGUUGAGGGGCGUGUGGCAGACGACGGAGUCCAGGGCAGCCUGCAUGGCCCGGCGCUCCUCCUCACACAGCUGCUUUCCUGGGGGCAGAAACAGGGACCAGCAAACACUACAGCGUUCCUCAUUCCCACAGGGCCUUCGCCAGCACAGUCUCAUCUGAUUCUCAAAGCCACUCUGUGGAGUAAACUGAGCAAACGUUAUCUUUUGUGCAUGUUGUAGAUAACAACAGCUAAUACGUACUGCGUGCAAGGCACGUCACGUAUAUUAACUCAGUAUCUGCAUGACAGCCCCAUCAGAUAUGAGUUGCUCUAUUUUAAAGGUGAGGACUCUGAGGCCCAGAGAGGUUAAGUAACUUAUUCAAGGUCACACAGCUAGUAAAGGAGAGAAGUAGAGUUCACACCAGCGAGUGCAGCUCCAGUGUCUAUGCCCUGAAAGUCACUCUGCCCCACUGCCUCUCUAAACUCUCCAUCUAGGACACUGGGGAGACCACCCAGGUACAGGGCGGAAGCUACCUGCCACAAGUCACCUCCUGUGAUGGGGCUGGCACCAAAUUUGGCUGUUUUCACUGUCCUGCCUCCCUGACAUUUUCCUUUCUCUUCCCCUCCCUGGGGACCAAAUUCCUACCUGGCAGCUGACCUACCAGCCUGUGCAUGCUCUGGGGUCCACACGAGCCUCACAGCAAGGAAGUCUUGGAGGUUGUUAAGCAGCGUGUAGGUGACAGUGAAACGCUCGUAGGUCCGAACAGGGGACUUACAAGAAGCGGUCAUCACAAAACACGGGCGGUCCAAGCGGAC
rnacentral:lncRNA from 1 species